GUGGGGAAUAUUGGACAAUGGGCGCAAGCCUGAUCCAGCCAUACCGCGUGGGUGAAGAAGGCCUUCGGGUUGUAAAGCCCUUUUGUUGGGAAAGAAAUCCUGUCGAUUAAUACUCGGUGGGGAUGACGGUACCCAAAGAAUAAGCACCGGCUAACUUCGUGCCAGCAGCCGCGGUAAUACGAAGGGUGCAAGCGUUACUCGGAAUUACUGGGCGGAAAGCGUGCGUAGGUGGUGGUUUAAGUCUGCUGUGAAAGCCCUGGGCUCAACCUGGGAAUUGCAGUGGAUACUGGAUCACUAGAGUGUGGUAGAGGGAUGCGGAAUUUCUGGUGUAGCAGUGAAAUGCGUAGAGAUCAGAAGGAACAUCCGUGGCGAAGGCGGCAUCCUGGGCCAACACUGACACUGAGGCACGAAAGCGUGGGGAGCAAACAGGAUUAGAUACCCCUGUAGUCC
rnacentral:rRNA from 1 species